GAUACAGAUAGAUAAAUAGAACAGGUAUUAUGAUUUGUACCUUUUUUUCAACUUAAUAGAUUUCUGAACUUACUAGGCUUAUGAUUUUAUGCAGGGUCGAUAUCAUAAUUCCUAUAUAAGCUUUGGGUACUCAAUAUUCAAAAAGGGUAAGAUUGCAAUGGGGUGUAAUCUUUAAAGUACUUAUAUAUUUACUAACUUUUUAUUGGCAUUAUACAUCAUAUAUUUAAGUAUCCUAAAUUGUCUAAUGCAUGUCUUCUUUUCCAGAGUUUCCUUCCAUUAGGCUGCUUUUAUACGAGUGAUUUCCGCUGCCACAGUAAAGAGGGUCGCAUUACAAGAGAGUUCGUUGCCCAAGAACACAUAUUUGACAAGGCUUUCGUAUGAGUUGUGGGCAUUUCCAGGAGUAGUUUUAUGACCCUGGUGGUAUUUUGAACUCUUUUCCGUACCGUGAACCUGAAGAAACACUCAUUAGAACAUAAUCUGAUCACAAAUGCUUUGAUAUAUAUUAUGAAAUGGUUUGUGUGAGGGGUGAUUUUUUCUCAUUUUUCUCACUUAGAGGGACCAUUAAGAAACAUGAUCCCCGCUGCUGCUGGGUUAAACUGGGCGGCAGAAACCACUCACAUGAAAGCAACCUAAAUCUUAUCUGUGGUACUAGUUAGACUUGGGUUUGACAAGGGAUGCCAUUCUGUACGCUAAGGUAUAGUACACAACCCUCAAUUUCCACGAUAUUGGAUUUCCCGGACAAAAUCUGGGGUCCAGCAAUUGUCAGACAUAUGCCUUCUCAAAUCCAGGACCUGAAAUAGAAUCCAGGUAAAAAAUCUGUGGCGGUGGCUGAGUGGUAGCGUGCUGGGCCCACAUUCAGCACGUGAUGGCCGACGUGGGUUCGAAUCCCCAUGCUACCACCUCGGAUUUUUCAGUCACCGCCGAGUGGCUUAACCCGUGUGUGUCAGGUGGCGGGAGUUCCCACCAUCCGACCACCGUUGCCAGAUUGUCGUACUCAGAGCAUAGUAUUUACCGGUUUCUGACGCCUAACUAUCGCCAAGAAACAUCAGGAAUUAAGUAUUUUAACGAUAAUCAUAAGUGAAUCUCCUUAUUGGGGUUCACGAGACAGUUUUGGGGUCGGAAGUCGGUAAAUAUAAGAGGCUGAGUAAGACAAUCUGGCAACUUUGCAUCCGACGCGCUUGACUUGGCCAAAAAUAGCACCUCUUCCCAACAUCAUGUCUCUGCCGUGCUGCAACCUAGACACUUCAAAUUUAUUUCAUCGUGGAGAGGAAGGAUUGGCGAUGAAAAAAUGGUAUAAAUUAUUAUGUUUUCUUUUGAAAUUGCCACACGGGGCAUUGAUGAAAGAUACUUAUUUUUCAAAAUUUAUCAACACCGCCCGUGUGCUGCGAGGACGACAAUAGUCCUCUAGCCCGACGUUUAUGGCUUAAAACUACCCACAUGCUGUCCUGAAGACCACCCGUCAACCUGGACUCUAGAGGAAACCAUCCAAGUGAAUCAAGAACGAGUUCCGGGGGGCAGCAUGAGCCAAGAGAAGAUGAACAUAAGAACAUAAGAACGCAGGAGUCUGCAAGAGGCCGGUAGGCCUGUACGAGGCAGCUCCUUUGACCCUAAGCUCCCGUGUAUCUAGCCCCACCUAAUAUCGCUGUCCAUGAAUUUAUCUAGUCUAUUUUUGAAUGUGACAAUUGUAUUGGCACUCACCACAUGACUGCUAAGCCUAUUCCACUCAUCCACCACCCUGUUAGUAAACCAAUUUUUGCCUAUGUCCCUGUUGAAUCUGAAUUUAUCCAGUUUAAACCCAUUACUUCGUGUCCUACCCGGUUCUCUUACCAACAAAACCUUAUGAAUGUCUCCCUUAUUAAAGCCCUUCAUCCAUUUAUAAACCUCGAUCAUGUCUCCACGCACCGUUCGCCUUUCUAGAGAAUGCAAGUUUAACUGUUUGAGUCUUCCCUCGUAUGGCAAGUUUCUCAACCCCUGAAUCAUCUUAGUCAUUCUCCUCUGCACCGAUGGCGCCACUAUAAACACUUGCCUGUGCCAUGAUGGGCUGGGGCCGACUACCAUCCAGGCCCCUCAAGCAAGCCUACCGGUGCUAUAGGCAUAGACGAAAAAAAAGAAAAAAAAUUGCAAUGCAAGUUUUCUGAUAAUUUGUUUUAGUUAGUCUCUUAGAUGUGCUUAACAAAGUGUGGAGAAAGUCCGGGGCAGGUACUGGAUACUGGUGAUUACCAGACUGAGUUUUGUAAAUGUCUGAGUGGGCCGACAGGACCCCAAACUGUAGCGAUUUCAGAUUCUCAGACUUUUGUGGUUCCAGGACUGGUGCUCUCCCCCAAUAGCGUGGGAAAUUGAGGGUUGAGUGUAAUGUAAUCUUCAAUAUUCUGUAGUAAUAUCAUUCCUAACCGAGGCAUUGCUACACAGACUGGCACUUUAUUCAGACAAAAUAUCAGCGAAUUUGCCAAAUUGCUUACGUACUGUAAUUACAAUGGGAGGUUUUUACAAAAUAAUUUAUUUUCAAGCUCAGUCUAUUAAGGAAAUAUUAAGCCACUUCUAAAAGUGCAGGUGCUGUACUACUUUAUCAGUACUAGGUACAUAUAUUGGGGGCAAUAAUUUUUACAAAAUCAAAACUGAUUGCACUGCAUAUUUGUACCAUUAGUACAUUAACAACCACAUACAGCAAGGACAGUGAAGUACACCGGGUAUUUGAUAUAUGCGAGAUCGAAAUAUGCGAAUUCACUCAUAUGCAACUAACCUAAAUGUGCCAAGUAUUCGUUUUAUGCGAGAAAAAUUGGCUCUUAUGUGAGUAUCUGCGCUGGUGUGACUGGUUGGUGAGGUAUGGUGACACACUAGAGGGCGGCGGGUGCAAAUGUUUUCCCGCACUUUCCUCGCCUGUAAUUAACCUUUUCCUUCCUCUGAUCCUAAAGUUAAUCCUCAGGUAGCCAAUUAUCAGCCUAAAUCCUAGACUUUGGGUGUGUCUCCCCGGAAGCAAUCAGCAGCUCUAUUUUACAGUUAUCUCUACUAAUGUGCUUUAUUGUUGCUUUAGUGCUUUAUUAUUGUGAAAUGGUGCUGGAAUAAACUGUUAGAGGGUUCAAAAAUGGGUCGUGGAACAUAACCCGCUAUCAUUAACCCGUUCGUGGUCAACCAUGUCACCUGAUGUGUUAAUGUUGCUACUCCCUCUGGUCAACCACUUCAUAUGACGUUUUAUCAUUUUCUUUUUCCCACGUGAAUGAAAUGCCUCUAGCGGUUUAUAAUUACGUUUAUUGAAGUGUCAGGCAUCUUUUCUCAAGUGAUGGCUUCAUGCAUGGCAGUUUUAUUGGUUCAGAGCAUGCCUGUACAGUAUGGCACGUAGAUGUCGACUCGGCGCUCUCACUGAUGAGCAAAUUCAGCUUCAUUUCAGUGAAGAGGAGGGUGAUACUGACAGUGAAUCUACAAUAGAUGAUAGUGAUAAAGAUGAAGAUUAUGUUUUUCAAGAAAGUGAAGAAGCCAAUCAGCAAGUGGAUCUGAAUCUUAUCCAGCAGACACAGCAGCAGCUGACUACUCCUCAAACAUAUGCUCUGGACCAUCACCUACUCAACUAUCUUCUCCACCUCCUUCCACCUCAAGGAGUUUGGCAAGACGUCGGAGUUCACUGAGCGAAGAUGAAAGCAAUGCGUCUCGUCCAAGAGUGACUCCCCCACCCGCCCAUGGUCUCACUCCAGCCAGACAGACACCUUCCCGCCGAUCCUGUAGGUCACCUGUUAUGCCACAUCUCCUUUUUAUGUUUCCUGUUCAGAAUUACUUGCCUAUUUUGAGACUAAUUGUGUUCUUAUAGCCUAGUCACACUAUCACAAGAAUGUAGUGUUGUACAAAAGGAAACAAUUGUUAUGCCACAUUUCCUUGUUAUGUUUCCCGUUCAUAAUUACUGUUUUGAGACUAGUUGUGUUCUUAUAGGGAUACAGUAUCACAAGAAUGUAGUGUUGUACAAAAGAAAAACAACUGUUAUGCCACAUUUCCUUGUUAUGUUUCCCAUUCAUAAUUACUGUUUUGAGACUAGUUGUGUUCUUAUAGGGAUACAGUAUCACAAGAAUGUAGUGUUGUACAAAAGAAAAACAAUUGUUAGAGGAAGAGUUGAAAAUAAUAUCUCGGAGAUUAUGUCUGGCAGCGCUGCGCCACAGCUGCCAGGUAAAUGCCGGCGGGGCAUUUAAAAAAAGGUAAGGAGAAAAUUUCCAUGUUAUUUUCUUUAUGUGGAGAUAUUUAUGGGUUCAUUAUGCCAAAAAUUUUGUUUUCCAUUUUUCGUGACCAGGGGGAGUACACACAUUGUAACAUAGGUAACCACGAAUGGGUUAAUAGGAAGAUAGGUUCGAUAUACGCGGAUUCAUAUUAUGUGAGCUUUAUGCAGAACGUAACACUCACAUAUAAUGAAUACCUGGUGUACUACAUAUAUUAGGGCGCAAUAAUUUUUACAAAGUCGAAACUGAUUGCACUGCAUAUUUGUACCAUUAGUACAUUAACAACCACAUACAGCAAGGACAGUGAACUACUUCUGAACAUUAUCUAAACUAGGUACAUGUAACAUAUGAAUAAGUUAAACAAGCUGGAUAAGGACACACCCACUAGCUAGUCUAUAAACUUUGCACAGUCAACAAUUAACAUGUAAAGGAGAAUGUAAAAUAUAGUGUUUAACCGUGUAGCAGCGACGGGCCAAAUUUGUGGUUUUACCGUGUAGCAGCGACAAGCCAAAUUUGUGGGUUCACCGUGUAGCAGCGACGGGCCAAAUUUGUGGCUUUACUGUGUAGCAGCGACGGGCCAAAUUUGUGGUUUUACCGUGUAGCAGCGACGGGCCAAAUUUGUGGCUUUACCGUGUAGCAGCGACGGGCCAAAUUUGUGGCUUCACCGUGUAGCAGCGAUGGGCCAAAUUUGUGGCUUUACCGUGUAGCAGCGACGGGCCAAAUUUGUGGCUUUACCGUGUAGCAGUGAUGGGCCAAAUUUGUGGCUUUACCGUGUAGCAGUGAUGGGCCAAAUUUGUGGCUUUACCGUGUAGCAGUGACGGGCCAAAUUUGUGGUUUUACCGUGUAGCAGCGACGGGCCAAAUUUGUGGCUUCACCGUGUAGCAGUGAUGGGCCAAAUUUGUGGCUUUACCGUGUAGCAGCGACGGGCCAAAUUUGUGCCAUGAUUUUAACCCCCCAAAAUAGAUGAUACAUAAACUGAUCACAAAUGCUUUGAUAUAUAUUAUGAAAUGGUUUGUGUGAGGGGUGAUUUUUUCUCAUUUUUCUCACUUGGAGGGACCAUUAAGAAACAUGAUCCCUGCUGCUACCGGGUUAAAUACAAAAUUUUUUACAGCAAGGCGUUACUUAAUAGCGAAAUUCAUAAAUCUUUAUCAUACAAAAAUAUACAACCUGCAUCUUCAUAAACCAAUCUAGUUAAAAUUUUCCUCUUGAUACAUUCAGUGGAGGGCAAGGGGGCAUGUCAGUGUAUUUACAGUGAGACAAAACAUACAAACAAAAUAUUGGUUAAGUUGAAGUAUUGGGGUUAACAAACUGAGCCAUGAAUCCACGGGCUCGGGUUAAAUCCUCAUGUAAUAGAAAUUUGGAGAUGCAUGAUUGAACCAGGGCUCUUUAGUAUAAGGAGGAGAGAAAGUGUGUGGAAUGUGUCCCUCCAUCCCACAUACAGUCACUUUCAUAAUGCACUUAACACACAGUUAGGGAUCUCGUAUAUGGAAGAAGUAAUCAUUCCACAUGAAACCAGAAAAGUAAUGUACAGGUAACUCUCGAUUUAUGCGAGUUUGGUUUACGCGUUUUUGAAAUAAUGCGGGGUCCAAAAUCCAAAUAAAUGUUUAAUUUACAUGUUUUUUUUUUUACUUAUAUGUGAUAUUUUAUGGAGUGGCCACCAGAUGUCUCACGCAACUGGACUCACACGGCCACACAGCUGAGCCCAGUUCUUCCCACGCGCCACUUGAACAACAAUACAGUACCCACGCUGCCACGCUACUCAACAACAACAACACCCUCGCUGCUGUGCUACCACGAGGGGAAGGGCAGCCAGAGGAGGAACCACGAGAGGGAGAGGAGUCAGAGUGAUACAGUAGGCAAUAAAGGUACAAACCUACCUCUUGUUUGAUUUACAUUGUUUUUGAUUUACGCGACCUCUUCAAGGACACAAUACUCGCAUAAAUCGAGAGUUACCUGUAUAAUUACACCUACAGCCAUAACCAAGGCUGCUGAUGAGUCAUAUAACUACACCUGCAGUUUAAGGGUUAAUGCCAGAAGCAGUACAAUUUGUUGGUCUCCCAGCUCGUGUGCACAAUGCUUGUCUAUAUAUUCUAGCAUCUCCGAUUAUUCUAUGUCAGCCUGGGGAUUUAGGAUGUCCACCCAGGACUGAGAUGAUCACCAAGACCACCAGCAGUUUGGCAGACGCCCCCAACUUUGCCUUGUACCAAAUUAUAAACUCAUACAAUAUAUUUAUCUUGUGGAAAUAUUUUUAUUGCAUAGAGUGAAGUGCAACUAUUAUGCAGUGUUAUAUUUCACCUGAAUACAUAUUCUUUGGACAGCUUAAAUGUGCAAGAACUGCUUCAGCAAGGUUAGACCUUCUAUAAUGAAUGCAUGUAUUAUCCUCAACACUUUCAACAACAGCUGAAAAUCUAUGAAUAUUAUACAGUCUUUUGAUAUUCUAGGCACAAAAUGGAUAUGGCUAUAUAAAUUUCUGUAAGUCAGUAGCACAAACUUAAGCUUACAUUUUUUAGUGCAAAUUAUAUAUACAUACAGUCAAACCUUGGUUUAUGAGUGUUUUGAUUUAAGGGAGGCGACUAUGGGGUAUUUUUUGACGAAUAUAUUUAAAAUCGGACGAGUACAUGUUUUUCGCUCGGCGUGGCCGGGAAACCCUAAAUUACCAUGUGGUGAGGUUUGUUUUCGUAAAAUUAAAACCCCUCCCCCCUGGGGGGGACAUGAACGUCUUAUGACGUGCAUGUCAACAUAUGCGGUAUCAUUCGUAUAGACGUAAAAAUUGCAUUAGAAUAUUUUAUUUCUUCGUAAAUUUUAUCAUCUGUCAUCCUCUCUUCUUCGCGCAGAGAGGCAGGGGAGGAAGAGAGGUGCCACGGCGCCAGUGGCAAGCGAGACACAGACGGGAAGAGUGUGUCGUACUUUUCUCUCCUCUCCAGCCAAAAAAACGUCCUUACAAAUGAUGUACAAGCACAAGGCAACCAGAAAAAGAGUCACCAACAUCAAGAGGGUUUAUGGAGCGGCCAAACCUCAGAAAACAAGCAAGAGAGUAGCGUAGAAGCAAGGCACUCCCACGAGGCACUCCCGCGGCACUCGCGCUACGUGUGAGUGCCGCGGGCCCAGAUGCCUGAUCAUUCUCCAGUAAGUCAGAAAGAUGUACACAAUAAUAUGUGAAAAUUUCAUGCCAAUCAAAUAAAUGCAAAUGGCAAGACAAGAAUGAAAUGUAAAAAUAUCUUUAGGAGCCAAUAUCUCGAAAAUUAGUUUUUUAAACUUAAAAUAAUUUCACAAAAUCGGUAAAAAGUCAAAGGGAAAUUUUUUGUUGGAAAUAGAUUUUCAAUAAUGUCAAAAGAAAACGGGACACAGAGAGAAAAUAAUAAUAAUUGACAAAAGAUUGUAACUUUUUUUCUUCGAAGACAAAACAAAAAAUUAUAAAGUUACUUCCAACAAAAUGUAGAUAGGUAAGCAAAGUUUCUAUGGUAUUUUUUCAAACCAAUUAGCUGAAAAAUAAAGCCUGUGAAACAAAGAAACGAAAAAUACGCUUUGUUUGAGUCUCUCCAAAACUUCACCUGAAUUUGAUGAACUUCACAGAGUAACACCUUUACACCAACAAACAACAUACUAAGAUUUCAAAGCUAUUGGACGUACCAUAUGCGCAGGAGGGCCCCCUGUAGUCGCCUCCCUCAAGAGCAAAAUCCCAUAAAAACUGCCUUGGUUUACGAGCGGUGACUUGGUAUAUGAGCAUCCUGUUUGCUCCCUUGCUUUAUAUUUUCGCCAGCCCCUGGGUUGGGACACGGGCUAUAUGGAGGCCGUCAUGGUCAAGUGCGUAUGUCCCUUCGAGGAGGGAUCACAAACCCUUGCCGGAUGAUGGCUCAUGAAGGGGAGGGGAGGAUGCCGAUAGGCCGACUCUAUCGGCUUACGUCAGCCUAGCCCGCGGUUGUGGGAGUCUCCGUAAGAGCCGCAGCACAUUGAUUUGUGUUUUGUAUUAUUUAUCAUUGCACUUUGUUAGUAAAAAUUACAUUCUGUAAAAAAUAACAUGUGAAAUGAUUUUUAUAUAAUUUUUUUUUUUGAGACAGGGGACGCAUUAAUGGGAUUGACAUUAAUUACAACGGGGAAACUCGUUUUGGCUUAUGAAUGUUUUGGCGUGCGAGCAAAAUUCCAGAACGAAUUAAACUCGUAAACCGAAGCUUGACUGUAUGUAUAUAUAUAUUAAGUAAGAGGGAGUUCCAGGCUCUGAAAAGACAGCAAAAGAAGAAACAUGAUAUCCUCAGUCCCUCAGUAAGAGGACAUUAUAAACUAUUAAAUACAAAUACCUAUGCAUUAGUAAGCAGAAACUCUUAAGCCUUCAGCAGCUCUUCCAGCUUAAGGGCACACCUACUGUACAAUUCUCACUCCAUGGAAUAUUUUCACUUGCAACAUAAAGGCGCUUAUCAAGAAGUGCUGUACUAGGUCCUAUGCAGCUUUUUUCAUUAGGCUUCCCUUAUCCUUAUGACCUUAACCCGGUAGCAGCAACGGGACAAAUUUGUGGCUUAACCGUGUAGCAGUGAUGGGCCAAAUUUGUGGCUUAACCGUGUAGCAGUGACAGGCCAAAUUUGUGGCUUAACCGUGUAGCAGUGACGGGCCAAAUUUGUGGCUUAACCGUGUAGCAGCGACGUGCCAAAUUUGUGGCUUAACCGUGUAGCAGUGAUGGGCCAAAUUUGUGGCUUAACCGUGUAGCAGCGACGGGCCAAAUUUGUGGCUUAACCGUGUAGCAGUGAUGGGCCAAAUUUGUGGCUUAACCGUGUAGCAGUGACGGGCCAAAUUUGUGGCUUAACCGUGUAGCAGCGACGGGCCAAAUUUGUGCCAUGAUAUAAACCCCCAAAAAUAGAUGAUACAUAAACUGAUCACAAAUGCUUUGAUAUAUAUUAUGAAAUGGUUUGUGUGAGGGGUGAUUUUUUCUCAUUUUUCUCGCUUAGAGGGACCAUUAAGAAACAUGAUCCCCGCUGCUACCGGGUUAACUCUGCUAAGGUCUCAUGGUACACUAUUUUGACGCGGAACCUGCGCAAAACAAGUUUUUACAGGCGACUUGUUUUUUUUCAGUGUUCAAAUAGUUUUUUUUUCAGAAUAGUUUCAUUAUCUCCUAAUACCUUAUAAAAUGAUGUUUGAAGUGUAGGAUGCAAGAAACUGGACUCCUCUAGAUACAGGUAACUCUCGAUUUACGCAAGUUUGGUUUACGCGUUUUUGAAAUAACGCGGGGUCCAAAAUCCAAAUGAAUGUUUAAGUUACACGUUUUUUUCACUUAUACGCGAUAUUUUAUGGAGUGGCCACCAGAUGUCUCACGCAACUGGACUCACACGGCGCCGCGGCCACACAGCUGAGCUCAGUUCUUCCCGCGCGCCACUUGAACAACAAUACAGUACCCACGCUGCCACGCUACUCAACAACAACAACACCCUCGCUGCUGUGCUACCACGAGGGGAAGGGCAGCCAGAGGAGGAACCACAAGAGGGAGAGGAGUCAGAGUGAUACAGUAGGCAAUAAAGGCAUGCACACUGUUGGCCCCGAGGAUGUGAUAUUGCCUCGGCCAGCACCAAGAGACAGCACCGUACACACGAACACCACCUACUUGCUCACGGCCGCCGCAGCCAACUACAAGGUUGAGGAGGACGAGUCGCUACAGUACUGCCAAGAGUUGCUGGCCUGUGGGAGGAAGCUGCAGGAAGCCCGCUACUCCGAGGUGCUCCAGAGACGCCGAAUUGCUGUGAGGGCGAAAGUGAAGACCAGGCAGGACAUGCUUCAUGUGAUGGAAGACACUUCUGGUGCAGUACUGAGCCCGGAGAAGUCAUCCCUAGAUGAGUCGGUGCGGGAGUUAGUUCGCCGUGGCUUCCUUAGUGACCCGGAAGAGAUGCUGUACAGAUAUGGAGAGCUGGAUGACUUCUGGAAGGAGAGAUACGAUGACAGGCGUGACGGGUGGCGGCAGAUGGGUGACCUACCUCAAUUUAGUCCCUUCAAGGUGCCCAGACUGGUCAGAGUGCAACAUAUACCAAUCCUCACCUGGCUGGACUUGGGACCUCGAGAACAUCAUUGGUACCCAGACUACUCAUUCCUGCAGCGCGCCGUGACAGUGGUGGCAACCAAUGAGCAUUUACAGCAGAGACUAACCAAAGAGCUGGCCCAGUACCGCGGCCUUCUUGACCACCUCACACGGAACACACCCCUCCAGUUCUUCCUCCAAGACAGGGAAGACCUGCUUGAUCGUCAGUACAGUGAGGCAGUGGAGGAGCAAGUGAAGCAGCAGCAACACGACAGUUUUCUAAGCAAGCUUGAGUCCAGUCAGUGUCGCGUCUCCAGCCACCACCUUGCUGGUGUCACUGUUCUAAGGCAACUCCCAGAAAGUUUUAAUAAUGUAUGUUUUUGCCUUGCUUUGUGUGCCUUUAUGUUGGACAUUCAUGCGUAUGAUCUGGCUCUAAAACUGGCUCUUAAGGAGUUCUGUGAACUACGGGGCUAUUAUCUCUUCAGGAACAGGAUCAUAAAAUUGUUCAGAAAGAAUAGGAGAGAUGUACUGAAGCUUUUGAGAGAAAGUAAGAGUUUUAACUUUGGAUUUAUUGAUCUAACUGACACUAUGAGCCCCAGUACCAUUCCUGGACCCCAAGACACCAAGAGUGAACCAGCCUGCAAUAAGCAGUUUGACUCUCUGAAUGCAUGCAGGCAAUGCACCAACACAGCAGCUCGUCAGACUCAAGAGGGCAAAAAACAACUUGUCCCAGAUGAGAAACAUGUGGCCAUAGAGCAAGGCAACAUCUUCUGCUGCCAAGAUAUGACCUAUGGUCACCCUAAACAUAGAGCUGCACCUUGGCACCAUCGUGGAGGCAUGGGAAAUGAAAUCAGUGUUAAGUAUCUUGACAGGAAAAAUUAUUGUUACAAAAAGGUGGUUGAUCUUGAGGAAGAAAAUCUUUCUAGAGCACUUCAAACCCAAAAGACCGAUUCUCUGGUGAAGCACUGCAGAACUAGUGCCAAGUUUCCAGACCUCAUGAAGUACAAUAUGGACAGCAAGCAUUAUACAACUGGUGCUCUGUCCAAAACUCAUACAAAUGGCCCUCUUCAUGAACACCAUAGGAAUAGCACUGUGUCAGGACUCUUCAGUACUGAGCAUCACAAAAACUACAUUAUAUCAGAGUACAAUAUGGACAGCAAGCAUCAUGGUGCAGAAUCUGAGCACCACCAGAAAUCUGAGGCUGCACAACAUGGCUCUACAUCUAGGGACAACAUAGCCAAGCCAGAACAUUCCAGCUCUUCCCCACAUUGCCUUGGCAUAAGACAGGGACACUUAGACAGUAGUAAUACUUGGAACAGCAGCCAUGACAGUAUGAGCAGGAGCGAUAGAGUCUUCAUUGAUAAUAUUAAUAAUGAGGGGAAGAAAUAUGAAACACCUAGUUGUGAGAGUAGAGUUAAAGCCUUUGACAAUGAGAGUGAAGGUGACAUGUUAGUCCCCAGUUGUAAGAGUAAAGGGCACAGUAUUAGCAUCCUUACGAAUGACAAUGUAAGUGGACUUUUUAAUGCCAUCUGUGGUAGGAAUGGAAGCAGGGAUGAUGGACUAGGUGGUCAAAGAAGUGGAGAAUGUUACAAGAGACAUUCUGGCGAGAGCAAUGAGAGUGGAGCUAACAGCGUUCUCAAAAAUAGUGGACUUUUUAAUGCCAUCUGUGGUAGCAAUGGAAGCAAGGAUGAUGGACUCUGUGGUCAAAGCAGUGGAGAAUGUUACAAGAGACAUUCUGGCGAGAGCAAUGAGAGUGGAGCUAACAGCGUUCUCAAAAAUAGUGGACUUUUUAAUGCCAUCUGUGGUAGGAAUAGGAGUGAAGGGUGCAAUUUCAUCGAACACAGUGGCGACGACAAAAAUGAAAAUCGUGACGUUCUGAUCUUUAAUAAGGAAAAUGACGAAAUAGUCUUUACAGGUUGCAAUGAAGCAGAUGAGACGGUCAACGACAAAUAUGAAAAUAGUGACGUUCUGAUCUAUAACAAUAAAAAUGAUGAUGAAAUAGUCUUUACAGGUUGCAAUGAAGCAGAUGAGACAGUCUUUAAAAGCAACGAACAUGACAGAGGUGAAUGCAGUAACGUUAACUUUAGCAAUCAGAGUGACAGAGUACCCCUUGAUUGCAGUGAAAAGGGUGAUGGAACUCUCAAUAACAGUGAAAAUCAGAGUGACAAGGCUCUUAAUGGUGAAACUGAGAGUGACAGCCUCCAUGAUUGCAGUGAAAAGGGUGAUAAAACUUCUCUUAAUGGUGAAGUUGAGAGUGACAGCCUCCAUGAUUGCAGUGAAAAGGGUGAUAAAACUCUCAAUAACAGUGAAAAUCAGAGUGACAAGGCUCUUAAUGGUGAAACUGAGAGUGACAGCCUCCAUGAUUGCAGUGAAAAUGGUGAUAAAACUCUCAAUAGCAGUGAAAAUCAGAGUGACAAGGCUCUUAAUGGUGAAGGUGAGAGUGACAGGAUCCAUGACUGCAGUGAAAAUGGUGACAAAACUCUCAAUAGCAGUGAAAAUCAGAGUGACAAGGCUCUUAAUGGUGAAACUGAGAGUGACAGGAUCCAUGACUGCAGUGAAAAUGGUGACAAAACUCUCAAUAACAGUGAAAAUCAGAGUGACAAGGCUCUUAAUGGUGAAGGUGAGAGUGACAGGCUCCUGGUUGGCGAUGACGCUGGUAACAUUGAUAGUGAAAUUAACAAGAAAAAUGGACCUGAUGAAAAAAAUGACAUUGUACACAGUGACGGCAGUGACGCGAACUUAGGUUACGGCAACUCUCAACUUAAUAACAGUGAUUCGGUUUUUAGUUCCGUCGACAGUGAUGAAGUUAACAAGGUUUUUGGUGGAAGCAGUGACGAACUUGCAACAACAGACAAUGGCGUUGAUAUGAAGGAUGUCCGAGGGGGUUUUGAAGAAGCCUCAAGUGAGCAAUAUGGGGACAAAGACAUGAUGCUAAAUACAAAUAACAGCGAUAGGAGUUCAGGGGGAAUCAAUAAACGGAGUAACAAAAACAACAUAGCCGAUACAAAAGGAAUUGAUAAUGUUCGUGAUAAGGGAUGUAAAUGUACUGGUAACUUUGGUGACUUUUCAAGCGACAUCAUAAGUUUUGACACAUCUCAUGACGAUGACACAAGUAUGUUACGAUCCAGUGAUGGGAUGGAAAUUCAUAACACUGCACCUUAUGAAGAAAGCAAUACUCAUACAGUGUCAGUCACAGUGAAUGAUUUAUCUGGAGAAAUGAAUGAAAGCCAAGAUGAAAACAACAUUCCAGAACGAAGAAAAAAAAAAAGCAAAACCAAAAUACCUAAGACGCAAGAACCCUCAUGGAACCCGGUUGAACUAGCCAAGCCUGAAGAGAACUUGAUAUCUUGGGGGACUUUACAGCCCAUUUACGGGAACCUUAACACGCUUUUAAAGAAGUGGGAUAACUACAGCUAUCUGGUUGGAGUGUUUCGCAGUACCUACAGAAGUGAGUGCGAAAGGUGGCGAGAGGUUGUAAAGAGAGCGCACAUGGACAUAUCAAGUACCUUCUCUAAGACCAGGAAGCAGAGAGAAGCCAGAGUACGCAGUGGAAAGUAUAAGCCUCCCUCUUUGAUGCCACAUAUAAAUACCUCCGUGAAGCGUCAAGGGAGGAAAGGUUCAUGUUCAACUAGACUGAGGUGGAUAACGAAUCAUGUUCACUGGCUGAUCAGGUACAAUAAGACUUUGAAUCUCCGGCACAACACUCUGAUCUACUGCCUCUUGAGCAUAGAGCAGGAAAGAACAGAUGCGUCAUCCCAACGAUAGAAGAUAAUGGAAAAAUAUCAUACGUAAGGAAUCUAUUAUCGGCACAGGUUCCUCUAAUACGGGUAACUCGAUUUACGCGAGUAUUGUGUCCUUGAAGAGGUCAUUGCGUUAAUCAAAAACAAUGUAAAUCAAACAAGAGGUAGGUUUGUACCUUUAUUGCCUACUGUAUCACUCUGACUCCUCUCCCUCUCGUGGUUCCUCCUCUGGCUGCCCUUCCCCUCGUGGUAGCACAGCAGCGAGGGUGUUGUUGUUGUUGAGUAGCGUGGCAGCGUGGGUACUGUAUUGUUGUUCAAGUGGCGCGCGGGAAGAACUGAGCUCAGCUGUGUGGCCGCGGCGCCGUGUGAGUCCAGUUGCAUGAGAUAUCUGGUGGCCACUCCAUAAAAUAUCGCGUAGAAGUGUAAAAAACGUGCAAAUUAAACAUUUAUUUGGAUUUUGGACCACGCGUUAUUUUAAAAACGUGUAAACCAAACUCGCGUAAAUCGAGUUACCUGUAGAAGAUCAAGAGGAAUAAAAAAUAACCAAUCAAACAUGAGCGGAAAGAUCUGGAAGAGAAUAAAGAUGUAUUCAUCCAGUUCUCCACAAGUAACAAAAUAUCAGAGCUCCAAGUGCAUAGGUUUUAUACCCAGAAAUAAGCAAGAGAAGAUGGCGCCACUAUAAACACUUCCUUGCGCCAUGACGGGCUGGGGCCAAACACCAUCCAGGCCCCUCAAGCAGCCUUCCAGCGCUAUAGACGUACCCGUAAAAUAACAAAAACAAACAACAAAACAUAAAAACUUAUUUCCUAGUAAUGAAUAUUCAACAAACCAGUCUUGCAUACUAUUUGCUUUUAUUAAUUCUUAUUAUUUCUAUUGUAAAUGAGUGGAUAUGCCAGUGGGAGACUUCACUAAUUCUGUAAAAAAAAACAUUAUUAUUGGUUGAAAAGUGAGGUUAGUUGGCAUCUUCCUAGUAGUGAAUAUUCAACAAACCAGUCUUGCACAUUUUUUUUAUUAAUUCUUAUUAUUUCUAUUGUAAAUGAGUGGAUAUGCCAGUGGGAGACUUCACUCGUUCUGUAAAAAAACAUUCUUAGGGCCACUUUCAGAGUCAUUUUGUUUAUUUUGAUCGUUACCAAUGGCGGCGAUCGACGCUAUAGUUUUCCACGUGAAACUGGCCUAUGGGGUAGUGGCAGCUGCAGAGGAAGCGAGAGUUGUUGAGAGUGUGUGGCAAGGUGUGGGGCUUGGCUAACCCCGCAGCCGCCACUUCCCCAUCGGCCAGUUUGACGUGGAAAUUCCAAAGCGGGGAUCGUCGCCAUUGGUAACGAUCAGAACAAACAACGACAGUGAAAGCAUCUCUUAGUAGUUGAAAAGUGAGGGAAUUGGGAUCUUCCUCAUGUGUGUGUGUGUGUGUGUGUGUGUGUCCUAAUGAUAAUGAGGACCAAUUCACUCACAAGUUUCUCUCAUUUUUUUUCCCCAUCUCACUAUGAGUAAGGGGGCUUCGUGGUGCAGUGGUUAGCACACUCGGCUCACAAUCGAGAGAGCCCGGGUUCGAUUCCCAGGUGGAGUGGAAAAAUUUGGGCGGCUUUUCCGAUACCCUACGCCCCUGUCCACCCAGCAGUGAAUGGGUACCAGGUAUUAAUCGGGGGUUGUGUCCCGUCUCCUGGGGUCUGUUCCCUUCUCCUAUUAUUCCUUCCCCCUCCUGUCUCUCUCCAGCACCACCAUAAAACUAUCCCUGGAAAUGCCCCAAACACCUACGAAAGCCUUGUCAAAUACGUGAACUUGGGCGACGAAAUCUUUAGUAAUACGACCCUACGUUUUCAUCUAAAUUUUCCAUUCUUUUAUGAUUUUUUUAAUCAAAUUUACUAUCAAAAGACAUUAAAUUAUUGUAUCCAUUAAAUUCCUAGGUCCUCAUCAUCAUGGGCCAUUUGCUUUGUCCCAUUAGAGGAAUAUUAUUUUUUUAAGGCAUGUCAUGAUUAUGUUCAAACUGUAAGAUGCAUUUUCUUGUAAGGGAAGCACUUUUACUUAUUAUUUUUAAUGUCAUAUUUAUCCUCAUGUGCAUGUGUAGAAAAUAAGGUUAAAUGAUGAUUACAAUGCUGAAGUUGUGAGUACUAAUGUGACAUAUUGAGACAUAUCAGUUGAAUACACAGACUGAAUCAUGAGAACUUUGAAUUAUAUGUAUAUAGUAUAUGUAGUUUAUGAGUUACAACGUGAUGAAACUUACAACCGCUCACAUUUACAACCAGGCCAAUAAUAUUAAUAAUACUUGUUUAACCCAGUAGCAGCAACGGGCCAAAUUUGUGGCUUUACCGUGUAGCAGCGACGGGCCAAAUUUGUGGCUUGUGGUUAAGUAAUGAGUUGACACUGCAAUUAUCACACCAUGGAUAAAGAGCUAUUUAUUUACACAGUUCCCUUGCUUCCUACCAAGCUUCCCGCUAGUUCUAGCCACAGACUUGCAUACUAAACUGCACGCCAAGGCCCUGCAAGUGACACCUCUGGACCUGGGCCGACGGCUGUGGGUGUGCCCAGUUCAUCCCAAACCGACGACUUCACACACCUGACCCCACCAUUCAUUAUUAACUCGGUAGCAGCGGGGAUCAUGUUUCUUAAUGGUCCCUCCAAGCGAGAAAAUUGAGAAAAAAUUACCCCUCACACAAAACAUUUCAUAAUAUAUAUCAAAGCAUUCGUGAUCAGAUUAUGUAUCAUCUAUUUUUGGGGGGUUAUUUCAUGGCACAAAUUUGGCCCGUCGCUGCUACCGGGUUAAGAAAAACUGAGACCACCAUCGUCUUCCUGAAAAAAUUCUACAUCACACUAAAAUAAAUUUGUAACAUUUUCUUAAUAAUGAAUGGUGGGGUCAGGAAACCGGGGGGAGUGAGGUGUGUGAAGUCGUCAGUUUGGGAUGAACUGGGAAUAUAUAUAUAUAUAUA